ACUCAAAUGAAUAGACGGGGACUUGCACAAGCAGUGGAUUAUGUGGUUUAAUUCGAUGGUAAACGAAGAACCUUACCAGGGUUAGAAAUUCUAGUGAAAGCCCGAGGAAACUCGGGGCCUCGCAAGACUCUAGAACAGGUGAUGCAUGGCCGUCGUCAGUUCGUGGUUUGAAUUGUACCCUUAAGUGGGCUAACGAACGCAACCCUCGUUGUGUGUUACAAGUGUCACACGAGACCGCCCCCGAUAAAGUUUUUGUCCCAAACAUGUUGUUUGAUGACGAAGGUUUUAUCGGGGGAGGAAGGAGAGGAUGACGCCAGGUCAGCAUGUCCCUUUGAUACCCUGGGCUACACACAUAAUACAAUGACUAUUACAACGCGUUGCGACGAGGCGACUCUAAGCUAAUCGUUUAAAAAUAGUCUCAGUUCGGAUUGAAGGCUGCAACUCGCCUUCAUGAAGCUGGAAUUGCUAGUAAUCGCAGGUCAGCUAAACUGCGGUGAAUACGUUCUCAAGUCUUGUACACACCGCCCGU
rnacentral:rRNA from 1 species